rnacentral:ribozyme from 11 species
UUCUUUUACAAAAGAAAAGAGAAAGGACACGGAGUUCAGAGAUUCCUUUCUUUCAUUUCUUUAUGAAAUGAAAGGUGGCCCUCAAGGCCACAGAAAAGAAGUGAGACAUCAGCCGUCAUUAAUCUCUUUCUUUCUUGUGUUUGAA